CUUGCAGUGAUGAAGCAAUAACGUGUAAGAAGGAUCUGUUUGUUGGGUUCUUUUGUGAAAUGCACUUGUUACGCUUGGCUUCUGAGCUUU